AAGCCUAAUAGCCCUUAAAGCUAAAAAUCCGACUUGCAAUCAGAUAUAUACUAGACC
rnacentral:tRNA from 1 species